AGAGUUUGAUCCUGGCUCAGGAUGAACGCUAGCGAUAGGCUUAACACAUGCAAGUCGAGGGGCAGCAUUAUUUUAGCUUGCUAAGAUAGAUGGCGACCGGCGCACGGGUGCGUAACGCGUAUGCAACCUGCCUGUAAUUAGGGAAUAACCCGGUGAAAGUCGGACUAAUACCCUAUAUUCAUCGUUAACCGCAUGGUUGAUGAUGGAAAGAUUUAUUGAUUACAGAUGGGCAUGCGUCCCAUUAGCUAGUUGGUAAGGUAACGGCUUACCAAGGCAACGAUGGGUAGGGGGACUGAGAGGUUGACCCCCCACACUGGUACUGAGACACGGACCAGACUCCUACGGGAGGCAGCAGUGAGGAAUAUUGGUCAAUGGGCGAAAGCCUGAACCAGCCAAGUCGCGUGAAGGAAGACGGUUCUAUGGAUUGUAAACUUCUUUUGUAGAGGAAUAAUGGCAGCUACGUGUAGCUGAGAUGCAUGUACUCUACGAAUAAGUAUCGGCUAACUCCGUGCCAGCAGCCGCGGUAAUACGGAGGAUACGAGCGUUAUCCGGAAUUAUUGGGUUUAAAGGGUGCGUAGGUGGCGUGUUAAGUCAGUGGUGAAAAGCUGCAGCUCAACUGUAGUCUUGCCGUUGAAACUGAUAUGCUAGAGAGGAGACGAGGUAUGCGGAAUGUGUGGUGUAGCGGUGAAAUGCAUAGAUAUCACACAGAACGCCGAUUGCGAAGGCAGCGUACCAGGCUCCGUCUGACACUGAAGCACGAAAGCGUGGGGAUCAAACAGGAUUAGAUACCCUGGUAGUCCACGCAGUAAACGAUGAAUACUAGAUUUUUGCGAUAUACUGUAAGAGUCUAAGCGAAAGCGAUAAGUAUUCCACCUGGGGAGUACGCCGGCAACGGUGAAACUCAAAGGAAUUGACGGGGGCCC
rnacentral:rRNA from 1 species